rnacentral:tRNA from 1 species
AACCAGAAAGCGAAUUUUGCAUUUAGUUUCGGCCUAAACUUUGGUGUUACUCGGCGGCACCUCUGGUUA